rnacentral:rRNA from 1 species
GAGUUUGAUCCUGGCUCAGGAUGAACGCUAGCGACAGGCCUAACACAUGCAAGUCGAGGGGCAGCAUUUCUAGCUUGCUAGAAGAUGGCGACCGGCGCACGGGUGAGUAACGCGUAUGCAACCUACCUUAUACUGGGGGAUAGCCCAGAGAAAUCUGGAUUAAUACCGCAUAACAAUGUUUUAUCGCAUGGUAAGAUAUUUAAAACUCCGGUGGUAUAAGAUGGGCAUGCGUAGCAUUAGUUAGUUGGUGAGGUAACGGCUCACCAAGACAAUGAUGCUUAGGGGGUCUGAGAGGAUAGUCCCCCACACUGGUACUGAGACACGGACCAGACUCCUACGGGAGGCAGCAGUGAGGAAUAUUGGUCAAUGGACGAAAGUCUGAACCAGCCAUGUCGCGUGCAGGAUGACGGCCCUAUGGGUUGUAAACUGCUUUUUUACAGGAAUAAUUGUCGCUACGUGUAGUGAUUUGAAUGUACUGUAUGAAUAAGGAUCGGCUAACUCCGUGCCAGCAGCCGCGGUAAUACGGAGGAUUCGAGCGUUAUCCGGAUUUAUUGGGUUUAAAGGGUCCGUAGGCGGUCUUUUAAGUCAGUGGUGAAAUCCCAGAGCUCAACUCUGGAACUGCCAUUGAAACUGAAAGACUUGAAUAUGGUUGAGGUAGGCGGAAUACGUUAUGUAGCGGUGAAAUGCAUAGAUAUAACGUAGAACACCAAUUGCGAAGGCAGCUUACUAAACCAUUAUUGACGCUGAUGGACGAAAGCGUGGGGAGCGAACAGGAUUAG